CCUACGGGGGGCAGCAGUGGGGAAUAUUGGACAAUGGGGGGAACCCUGAUCCAGCCAUGCCGCGUGUGUGAAGAAGGCCCUCGGGUUGUAAAGCACUUUCAGUGAGGAAGAACGCCUGGUGGUUAAUACCCAUCAGGAAGGACAUCACUCACAGAAGAAGCACCGGCUAACUCCGUGCCAGCAGCCGCGGUAAUACGGAGGGUGCGAGCGUUAAUCGGAAUGACUGGGCGUAAAGCGCGCGUAGGUGGCUUGAUAAGCCGGUUGUGAAAGCCCCGGGCUCAACCUGGGAACGGCAUCCGGAACUGUCAAGCUAGAGUGCAGGAGAGGAAGGUAGAAUUCCCGGUGUAGCGGUGAAAUGCGUAGAGAUCGGGAGGAAUACCAGUGGCGAAGGCGGCCUUCUGGACUGACACUGACACUGAGGUGCGAAAGCGUGGGUAGCAAACAGGAUUAGAUACCCGAGUAGUC
rnacentral:rRNA from 1 species